GUAAGGAUCUAUCUUUGCCGGACGGGCUGGCCCCUAUCUAGCCCGCUGCACGUAUAGCCCCGAACGCGGACUGGGCGGCACAACCAACCCCGCGAAGCUGUCUUUUUAUAAUUAUACGAAGCCGGGCGAGUCNGCGUCUCGCCGAGAGCGGUUCUGCCCUUCGGGCGGGGGCCUCUCUCGAACCAAAGCGCACCCCACUUUUCAAACCCCAAGCGUAAACUCUGAAUCUGAACCUUAAAGGUGGCCGCCCGCCCCACGAAGGCGGGCCCUCCUCCAACCAUUAAACGUUGUAAAACUUUCAGCGACGGAUGUCUUGGCUCCCCCAACGAUGAAGAACGCAGCGAAAUGCGAUACGUCUUGCGACUUGCAGAAUCCAGUGAAUCAUCAAAACUUUGAACGCACCUUGCGCUUCCGGGAUAUUCCUGGGAGCAUGCUUGUCGGAGUGUCUGUUAACUCCACUCGCCCCCCACCCCCNNCUNCUUCCUNNNGAAGAAGAAGAAGAAGGAGGAGGAGGGGGAGGGGCGGACUAUGCGUGUUCCGGAGCCUCCUCUCGCGAAGAAGCCCCGAGUGCACCGAAGAACCUGGAACUCGCAAGGAGAAGCCUCUCACACUCUUCGCUCGACGAGCCGAACUAAGGGAGAGAGUUGUUGACGGUUGUUACGACUCGCUCCCCCGGCGCAACAGAGUGUAGUUAGCUUGUGUGCAGGUCCCUUCUCCUCGCGACCCACGGCCGAU
rnacentral:misc_RNA from 1 species